rnacentral:rRNA from 1 species
CACGAACGCUGGCGGCAGGCUUAACACAUGCAAGUCGAGCGCCCCGCAAGGGGAGCGGCAGACGGGUGAGUAACGCGUGGGAAUCUACCCAUCUCUACGGAAUAACGCAUGGAAACGUGUGCUAAUACCGUAUACGUUCUUCGGGAGAAAGGUUUAUCGGAUUUGGAUGAACCCGCGUUGGAUUAGCUAGUUGGUGGGGUAAAGGCCUACCCAGGCGACGAUCCAUAGCUGGUCUGAGAGGAUGAUCAGCCACACUGGGACUGAUGCACGGCCCAGACGCCUACGGGAAGCAGCAGGGGGUAAUAUUGGACAAUGGACGCAGGCCUGUUCCAGCCAUGCCGCGUGAGUGAUGAAUGCCCUAGGGUUAUAAAGCUCUUUCACCAGUGAAGAUAAUGACGGUAACCGGAGAGGAAGCCCCAGCUAACUUCGUGCCAGCCGCCGCCGUAAAAA